UGAAUUUGGGAAAGAUCUCAUUCAGGCC
rnacentral:piRNA from 1 species